GAUGAACGCUAGCUACAGGCUUAACACAUGCAAGUCGAGGGGAAACGAUAUUGGAAGCUUGCUUCCGAUAGGCGUCGACCGGCGCACGGGUGAGUAACGCGUAUCCAACCUGCCCAUCACUUGGGGAUAACCUUGCGAAAGUAAGACUAAUACCCAAUGACGUCUCUAGAAGGCAUCUGAAAGAGAUUAAAGAUUGAUCGGUGAUGGAUGGGGAUGCGUCUGAUUAGCUUGUUGGCGGGGUAACGGCCCACCAAGGCGACGAUCAGUAGGGGUUCUGAGAGGAAGGUCCCCCACAUUGGAACUGAGACACGGUCCAAACUCCUACGGGAGGCAGCAGUGAGGAAUAUUGGUCAAUGGGCGAGAGCCUGAACCAGCCAAGUAGCGUGCAGGAUGACGGCCCUAUGGGUUGUAAACUGCUUUUAUAAGGGAAUAAAGUGGGAGUCGUGACUCCUUUUGCAUGUACCUUAUGAAUAAGGACCGGCUAAUUCCGUGCCAGCCGCCGCAGUAA
rnacentral:rRNA from 1 species